AACUAGCCCGGAUUGAAGUGGAAAGCCCGGAACUGCAAAACCUUAUUUUUCUUGCCAGAAAACAGCGACCAACGGAAGCUCGUUUUAUGGCUUAGAAAAAUAAGGUUUUGCAGUGAGGACUUGUAACGAAAAGCUGGAUUAGCU
rnacentral:sRNA from 1 species